AGUAAAGUGGCUGAGAUCAAGCAGAAGAUUGUAGCUCUUCAUACGGAAUGUUCCCUUUACUA
rnacentral:tRNA from 1 species